GUUAUUGAAUAUAAAGAAAAGACGAACAGCUCAGUAACUCUUAUUUUAUUUGAUGUAUUAGGAUUAUAACUAUGUUAAAUUAUAGAUAACAAUAAUACAAUAAGAAUAAGAUCUAUCAGUUAGUUGUUAAGGUAAUGGCUUAACAAGACUAUGACGGAUAACGGUAUUACUUUGUAAUAUUCCGGAGAAGGAGCCUGAGAGAUUGCUACUAAGUCUAAGGAUUGCAGCAGGGGCGAAACUUGACCUAUGAUAUGAUAUUGAGGCAGUUAUGAGUAGUAUUUUUAAUUAUUGUAGUAUUGUAAGUAUAUACUACAAGAUAAAUCGGAGGGCAAAUCGAGUGCCAGCAGCCGCGGUAAUACUUGUUCCGAUAGUGUGUAUGAUGAUUGAUGCAGUUAAAAAGUCUGUAGUUUAUGAUUAAUAAGCAUUGUGAGGUAUAUUGUAUGGUUAGGAGAGAGAUGAAAUGUGAUAACCCUAACUGGAUGAACAGAAGCGAAAGCUAUAUACUUAAAUGUAUUAUUAGAACAAGGACGUAAGCUAGAGGAUCGAAGAUGAUUAGAUACCAUUGUAGUUCUAGCAGUAAACUAUGUUAAAUCAUAGAUACAUUUUAAUAUGUAUUUAUGUAAAGAAAUUAAGAUUAUAUUGACUCUGGGGAUAGUAUGAUCGCAAGAUUGAAAAUGAAAGAAAUUGACGGAAGAAUACCACAAGGAGUGGAUUGUGCGGCUUAAU
rnacentral:rRNA from 1 species